UAUCUUAUCGCUCUUGUUUUUGCAAGAGAGGAAAGUCCGGACACCAUAGAGCAGCAUAGCGGGUAAUACCCGUCCUUCUUUUGAAGCGGACAAGUGCAACAGAAAGCAAGUACAGUUUGGCUGUAGUGAAAUCAGGUAAACUCUAUGUGGUGCAAUACCAUGUAUAUCAAGAUUUAAAAGUUGCUCGCUUUUUCUUGAGGGGUAGGUAGCUAGAGGCAAAGAGUAAUCUUUUUCCUAGAUAGAUGAUAGCACUCUAAUGAGAACAAAAUCCGGAUUACGUGUAGUUACUAUUA
rnacentral:RNase_P_RNA from 1 species